rnacentral:rRNA from 1 species
UAGUCAUAUGCUUGUCUCAAAGAUUAAGCCAUGCAUGUCUAAGUAUAAACAUCUUUAUACUGUGAAACUGCGUACAGCUCAUUAUAUCAGUAAUAAUUUAUUUGAUGGUACUUAACUACACGGACAACUGUAGAAAAUCUAGAGCUAAUACGUGCGUAAAGUCCCGACUGGCGGCUCGCCGUCUGGAAGGGAUGUACUUAUUAGAUAAAAAACCAAUGCGUCCGGGCUUGCUCGGGCGGUUUUGUGUUGAUUCAUAGUAAUUUAUCGGAUCGCAUGG